GUGGGGAAUAUUGGGCAAUGGGCGAAAGCCUGACCCAGCAACGCCGCGUGAAGGAAGAAGGUCUUCGGAUCGUAAACUUCUAUCCUCGGUGAAGAUAAUGACGGUAGCCGAGAAGGAAGCCCCGGCUAACUACGUGCCAGCAGCCGCGGUAAUACGUAGGGGGCAAGCGUUGUCCGGAAUGAUUGGGCGUAAAGGGCGCGUAGGCGGCCUGGUAAGUCUGGAGUGAAAGUCCUGCUUUUAAGGUGGGAAUUGCUUUGGAUACUGUCGGGCUUGAGUGCAGGAGAGGUAAGUGGAAUUCCCGGUGUAGCGGUGAAAUGCGUAGAGAUCGGGAGGAACACCAGUGGCGAAGGCGACUUACUGGACUGUAAUUGACGCUGAGGCGCGAAAGUGUGGGGAGCAAACAGGAUUAGAAACCCUGGUAGUCC
rnacentral:rRNA from 1 species